CUUCCCUUGGCGGUCUACCGCCUCGACUGCGGGCUGACCGUUGCCGGCCUCGCAUCUCUCUCUGGUGUGUCGCACACGCGGAGCUGUUGAAGCGCGCGUCUUUGUCUGUUUAACGGUGUCGGCUCGAGGUGUGCGUGUGCCUGCCCAGGCGGACCCUGAGUGAAGGCGGGGAGAGCCAUCCAGAGAGAGAGAGAGCGGGCGAGGCUCGAGAAAAGGCGCAAAGAGAGAGGAGGCAGGAAAUCGAGGCGUGCGUCUUCUUUCCUGUACACAGUUCUCUUCCCCGCUGCAUCCCCCUCGCAUCCGCCUUUCCGAAAGCCGAGCAGACUCCUCUUGCGCUCUUGAGCUGUUUAUCGUUUCUUUUUCUUCACAUCGUGGCUGUGCAUCGAGCAUGUCUUCCACGAGCAACACGGAGCAGAACACCCCCUCCCUCUCUCCGUCUACAUACCAUGUCACACCGAGACAAGAUGAAAGCUUGUCGACGUACAAGCAGCAGCGACGAGGCAGGCGUUCUUCCCUCCUCCUAGAAGCAGCGGAAGGCGCAAAGCAAGAGGGCAGGUGUCUUGCGCCACACGACGAACACGAAGAGCGUGCUGGCCUCGACCCGACUCCGCUCUCUUGUUUUGAGGUGGUGGGGGUGGGUGUUUUUGGUGUGACAGGGCGCAGUUUCGUCACCAUCGCCUUCCUGUGCAUUUCGUGCGCGUACGUAGGGUGUUUCGAUGUAGCCGGGCCAUCGUUUUAGUUCGACCUCGCAGUAUGCCCGCGGUUGCCCUUCUCGCAUGCUGCUUCCUCAGCACCCCUUGUGUGCAUCUCCGCUCUCCCUCCCUAUUCUCCCUCCCUCUCCCUCGCGGAACUCUUCACCACGUGCACACAUCCACACACGCACCCCGCAUACGCGGUCAACAUGAACACCACCACCGCUACUCCGAUACGUGCGCGCGCCUCCCCGGUUCUUCGACUUCAG
rnacentral:misc_RNA from 1 species